rnacentral:misc_RNA from 1 species
AUUAGUAUAUGAUGCUGAAGAGAUCGAUUAUGUUAAAUUUUUAUGCGGACAAGGGUAUAAUGCUACACAACUUAAGCUUGUGACUGGAGAAAACAGUUCAUGCUCUGAAGAAACAAAUGAAACAGUGUAGGAUCUAAACUACCCUUCUUUCGAACUGUGUACCCUGCCAGGCCAAUCUGUGGGUCGCAUAUUUCACAGAACUGUCGCGAAAGUUGGAUCAACACCAUGUGCAUGCAAGGCAAUUAUAGAAGCUCCAUCAGGACUUGACAUCCAAGUUCAACCAAAUGUUCUUUCCUUCAAAUCUCUUGGGGAAAAGCAAUCCUUUGUUGUGAUAGUUGAAGCUGUAUUAAAUAAUUCUGCAAUCUCAGGUUCCUUAACUUGGGAUGAUGGGGUGCAUCAAGUGAGAAGUCCUGUUUUAGCACAUAUUAUCUAUCCUUCUCAGUAGUUGGGAAUCAUCGUUCCUUCCAAACUAAACCCAACAAAAAAACUUACCUUUUGUAUAAAAUGCAAUAAAAUCGAAAGUUUAUGAGAUUUUCUGUAAUGGAACAAAGGAUUCACAGCUGCCAUAAUCG